AAGUUUACUUUAUGGCUAGAUGUGAAACUCCAUUCUCAGGAUUCUUGUGUAUCGUCCACACAAAUUCAGGCGUAUCCAUUCUCGGUCCUGCGACUGUUCUGUAUAUGUAUAUCCUCUCAACUGGAGAGCUCUCAGGUCUUGACUCUGGAGGAUGUUCAUCAAUGACUUCGACAUUGAGCCUUGGCAUUUUCUGACUUAGAAGCUUGCAAGCACCAAAACUUACAAAGCAAGAUGACAUCCAAAGGGAUCGCAUGGUCUCUAGCUUGGCAGCGUGCUCCAGUAGUGCAGUGUCUCCAAAAGGGCAGUCUCGUAUCUCAAGCUUCUUUAAACUCUCACAGCCCGACAACAAGUGAUGAAGCAUCAAAUCACUGUCCCCAGCAAAUGCUAUUGAUAGCAUCCUAACCUUCUUGGCAUGUUUCCCAA
rnacentral:lncRNA from 1 species